CAAGUCGUAACAAGGUUUCCGUAGGUGAACCUGCGGAAGGAUCAUUAUUGAAUAAACCUGAUGUGGCUGUUAGCUGGCUUUUCAAGGCAUGUGCUCGCCCGUCAUCUUUAUAUCUCCACCUGUGCACUUUUUGUAGUCUUUGAAUACCUCUCGAGCCAACUCGGAUUUUAGGAUCGCCGUGAAAAAGUCGACUUUCCUUUCACUUUUCAAGACUAUGAUUUUAUACACACCAAAGUAUGUUUAAAGAAUGUUAUCAGUAGGAAUUUGUUUCCUAUAAAACUAUACAACUUUCAGCAACGGAUCUCUUGGCUCUCGCAUCGAUGAAGAACGCAGCGAAAUGCGAUAAGUAAUGUGAAUUGCAGAAUUCAGUGAAUCAUCGAAUCUUUGAACGCACCUUGCGCUCCUUGGUAUUCCGAGGAGCAUGCCUGUUUGAGUGUCAUUAAAUUCUCAACCUUCCAGCUUUUUAUUAGCUUGGACAGGCUUGGAUUGGUGGGGGUUGCAGGCUUCGCUUUUGAGGUCAGCUCUCCUUAAAUGCAUUAGUGGAACUUUUGUGGACCGUCUAUUGGUGUGAUAAUUAUCUAUGCCGUGGAUGUGAAGCAACUUUUUGAAGUUCAGCUUCUAAUCGUCCACUGACUAUGGACAAUUUUGGCAAUUUGACCUCAAAUCAGGUAGGACUACCCGCUGAACUUAA
rnacentral:sRNA from 1 species